ensembl:lncRNA novel transcript, antisense to SP110
GUCGCCCAGGCUGGAGUGCAGUGGCACUAUCUCGGCUCACUGCAAGCUCCGCCUCCCAGGUUCAGGCCAUUCUCCUGCCUCAGCCUCCCAAGUAGCUGGGACUACUGGCACCUGUCACAAAGCCCAGCUAAUUUUUUUUGUAUUUUUAGUAGAGACGGGGUUUCACCGUGUUAGCCAGGAUGGUCUCAAUCUCCUGACCUUGUGAUCUGCCCACCUCGGCCUCCCAAACUGCUGGAAUUGUAGGUGUGAGCCACUGCGCCCGGCUGGGGCCAUGUGUUUUUAUAAAAAUAUCUACAUGAGUCACUUAGGAUGCAUUCAGUUACAGGGAAUAGAAAACUCAAUUUAAUUGGCUUCAACAAGCAAAUGUGUUGGUUCAUAUAGCCAGAAACUUCAAAAGUUAAGACAAGUUUUGGUGUUAGUUUAAUUUGGCAGCUCAGAAAUUUCUUUAAGGACUGAAUUUCUUUUCAUAUAUCUUUUCUGGGAUAUCUGCUUCAUCCCAAAGCUGGGUUCCUCCAGUGAUCGAAACAUGGCUACCAACAGUCUCCAGAAACACCUCUUCCAACCCGAGGAGUGAGCGUCUCCUCCCCAGCCACUGGGCAGAGUUCUAGGAUUCCCUCUGAUUGGACCAUGUUGAUCAUGUGCCUUUCCUGGGGCUGGGGACUGUCCUACGUUGAUUGGCUUAGAUCUGGCUUAUGCGCUGGUUCCUGAAAUAAACACCGUGUCAAGAGUAGGAUAUACUUGCAGUUUAAUUUAGCCAAACCUGGACCUAUGCUGGAGCUGAGGAUGGAGCAAAUACCAGCAAAACUGCCUAAAUGUUCCCCAGUGCUGUGGGGGUGGAACGGACGCUGAGAAGCUCACCCUAAUAUCCAAUUCACCAUGGAAAAAAGACAGGAAGGAUAUACAGCAAAGUGCCCACGACAGUUAUUUUCAAGUGGUGAUAUUAUGGGGAAUUUUUAUUUUCUUUUUUACGCUUAUCUGUAUUUUACAUUUUUGACAACAAGCAUAUAUUACUUGAAUAACUUCAAAGAGAAAUGAAAGCUAUAAAUAUGAAGAAAAGCUGGUAUAUAACACUAGCAAGUAAUUAACAGCUUGAGGGAUUUAAAGCAGACGUGUUGGCAAACAGGAAACAUGAAUUUUCAGAAUGGUACCAACGGUGCCUUGCAGAAGCUUCCAACUGCCUUUCUCUUGCCCCUGUUAGGCAAUUCCGUCGUUUCUACAGACUUAAUCUGAGAUCUCUGAAGGCUAGUCUGGCUUAAAACUACCAGUUUCAGCGGCUUGCAAUUUUCUCUUAUAUUUGGGUGGGGAAGAUUUUUCAGUUUUCCCUUAGAGACACUUUCCCUUGUGGGGCAUGAUAGUGUGUUCCUCGUUGCAGAAGGACCCCUGUAUGCAGAAGUAGAGGCGCUGGCCUCAGGCUCCUCCACUUCCUCUUGGACAGAAGACGCUGAGCAUUUUUUCAGGAAGUGGUCACCCCAGUGGUCCCCGGCUUUCUCAGACUUCCUGCAGCUCUCUACACAGUGAAUCACAGUGAGACACUGGCAGCAGGCACCACGGAAGGGACCCUCAAAUCUGAAGGCUCAAGGUCCUGGGAAAAGAUGAAGUGGAGCAUGCCUCUUGUUUCCUCCUAUUAGAUGCUGAGUGUUGGAAGUUCUUCCUAGGAUUCACAAAGAAACUCCUGCUCUUCUUCCACAUACUUUUUCCUGGGAAAGAAAACUUGUUUCACUGGCAGAAAAGAUCCCCACUGUUAAAGUGAGGUAAAGAAGAUUCUUGCUUCCUCUUUACGCGUCCGCCAUGAUUGUAAGUUUCCUGAGGCUUCCCCAGCCAUGCUGAACUAGAUGAGGUUUUGCCAUGUUACCCAGGCUGGUCUUCAACUCCUGGACUCAAGCGAUCCACCUGCCUCGGCCUCCUAAAGUGCUGGGAUUUCAGGUGUGAGCCACUGUGCCCAGCCCGAAGAAGCUUUAUCUGAUCUGAACCUGAUUUAGAUAAGGAGGUCCUGGACUUUGUUCCAAUGCUGCAGAGAGUGAGACUUCUGUGGGGAGAGGAGUGUCCUUUGCAUUUGGGAAAGAUGUGAACUACUGUGGCCAGAGGGUGAACUAUGGUAGAUUGCUUCUAAAGAUGGGAGCAGCAAUGUUUCUUCCCAAGCAACAUUCUCCUUUGAAAUGUGACUUUGCCACCCAUCGCAUCAAGAGGUAAGGUCUAUUCUCCCUCCUUCUGAAUCUGUCCCUGUGACUUGCUUUCACCAAUAGAUUGUGGCAGAAGUGACAGUGUGCAAGUAUGAAUGGGGUCUGCCAGUACCAUGUGGAGCAAAGGGAAGCAUCCUCAUGGAUGAUGCCUGAAUUCUUGAUCCACAGAAUAGUGAGCAAUAAAAUGUUUUUUUCUUUUUAAGCAGCUAAGCUUUGAGGUCAUUUGUUACACAGCAAUAGAUAGCUAAUACACCAUCAAAGAGUUCUGGGGUCAUUUCAAAACAACUCAGGAGGCAAAUUGAGGAGUUUCUCACUAAAAGUGGGGAACUUGCACAUGCCUGUAAUCCCAGCUACUCGGAGGCUGAGGCAGGAGAAUCGCUUGCACCCAGGAGGAGGAGGUUGCAGUGAGUCAAGAUGACGCUACUGUACUCCGGCCUGGGUGACAGAGUGAGACUC